rnacentral:misc_RNA from 1 species
AAGUCGUAACAAGGUUUCCGUAGGUGAACCUGCGGAAGGAUCAUUACUGAGUGGCUGUAUUCGCGAUUCUCUUCGGAGAGGCGAAGCUACCCGACCUGAUGUCAUUCUAUCCGAGGGCGCGUCCGCAUGAGACAGCGGUUCGACGUUGGAGGUACCCGGACGAGGCGCUUGUCUCGAAGGGGGAAGCUCCGGGUCGGGCCGUGACGCGCCUCUCGGCACAACUUUCCGCGGAAGUGGUAGGCGUUGACCUGCCCGCCGCGGGCCGUAUUUUCUACAAGUCUUGAAGAAAACCUGAAGUCUGAAGAUCAAAACAAAAUGAAAAGCAAAACUUUCAACAACGGAUCUCUUGGCUCUG